GUAGUAUAUGUGUGUGUAUGGGUGUGUGUAUGUGUAUGCACAUGCAUACACACACAUACACUCAUGUGCAUAUGCAUA
ensembl:miRNA Gm25570 predicted gene, 25570